UGGGCAACCUGCCCUCAGCUCUGGGAUAACUCCGGGAAACCGGGGCUAAUACCGGAUAUGACCACUCCUGGCAUCUGGGGUGGUGGAAAGUUCUUCGGCUGAGGAUGGGCCCGCGGCCUAUCAGCUUGUUGGUGGGGUGAUGGCCUACCAAGGCGACGACGGGUAGCCGGCCUGAGAGGGCGACCGGCCACACUGGGACUGAGACACGGCCCAGACUCCUACGGGAGGCA
rnacentral:rRNA from 1 species